rnacentral:lncRNA from 1 species
UGAAUUGAACCAGAAGCUGCUGUUUUUUUUCCUUCUUCCCAGUUGUCUGGUUUCUAUCAAUAGUGAAGGAGGCAGUUGAGGGGAAUCUCUUAAGGGACUUCAGUACCAAGUAACCUCCUCCAUUUUGAUAUUCUCUUCCAGUCUGCCUAAUUGAUUUGAUUCUAAGAAGAGGGGCUGUGUGUUUAUACCCAGGUCUUUUAUUGAUUUGAUUCUAAGAAGAGGGGCUGUGUGUUUAUACCCAGGUCUUUAAUUGAUUUGAUUCUAAGAAGAGGGGCUGUGUGUUUAUACCCAGGUCUUUUAUUGAUUUGAUUCUAAGGGUU